UACGUAGGGUGCAAGCGUUGUCCGGAAUUAUUGGGCGUAAAGAGCUCGUAGGCGGUUUGUCGCGUCUGGUGUGAAAAUCCAGGGCUUAACCCUGGGCCUGCAUCGGGGUACGGGCAGACUAGAGUGCGGUAGGGGGAGAUCGGAAUUCCUGGUGUAGCGGUGAAAUGCGCAGAUAUCAGGAGGAACACCGGUGGCGAAGGCGGAUCUCUGGGCCGUAACUGACGCUGAGGAGCGAAAGCAUGGGGAGCGAACGG
rnacentral:rRNA from 1 species